AGUGAACGCUGGCGGUAGGCCUAACACAUGCAAGUCGAACGGCAGCACAGUAAGAGCUUGCUCUUACGGGUGGCGAGUGGCGGACGGGUGAGGAAUACAUCGGAAUCUACUUUUUCGUGGGGGAUAACGUAGGGAAACUUACGCUAAUACCGCAUACGACCUACGGGUGAAAGCAGGGGAUCUUCGGACCUUGCGCGAUUGAAUGAGCCGAUGUCGGAUUAGCUAGUUGGCGGGGUAAAGGCCCACCAAGGCGACGAUCCGUAGCUGGUCUGAGAGGAUGAUCAGCCACACUGGAACUGAGACACGGGCCAGACUCCUACGGGAGGCAGCAGUGGGGAAUAUUGGACAAUGGGCGCAAGCCUGAUCCAGCCAUACCGCGUGGGUGAAGAAGGCCUUCGGGUUGUAAAGCCCUUUUGUUGGGAAGAAAAGCAGCAGGUUAAUACCCCGCUGUUCUGACGGUACCCAAAGAAUAAGCACCGGCUAACUUCGUG
rnacentral:rRNA from 1 species